rnacentral:rRNA from 1 species
GGACCCGCACAAGCGGUGGAUCAUGUGGUUUAAUUCGAAGAUACGCGAAGAACCUUACCGGCCCUUGACAUACCAAUCGCGGACUUAAGAAAUUAAGUCUUUCACUUCGGGUGGAUUGGAUACAGGUGCUGCAUGGCUGUCGUCAGCUCGUGUCGUGAGAUGUUGGGUUAAGUCCCGCAACGAGCGCAACCCUUACCUUCAAUUGCCAGCACAUUAUGGUGGGAACUUUGAAGGAACUGCCGGUGAUAAGCCGGAGGAAGGUGGGGAUGACGUCAAGUCCUCAUGGCCCUUACGGGCCGGGCUACACACGUGAUACAAUGGUAACUACAAAGGGCAGCGAAGGAGCGAUCUGGAGCAAAUCUCAAAAAGUUACCUCAGUUCGGAUUGCACUCUGCAACUCGAGUGCAUGAAGUUGGAAUCGCUAGUAAUCG